rnacentral:rRNA from 1 species
GCACAAGCAGCGGAGCAUGUGAUUUAAUUCGAAGCAACGCGAAGAACCUUACCUAGACUUGACAUCUCCUGAAUUACCCGUAACUGGGGAAGCUCUUCGGAGCAGGAAGACAGGUGGUGCAUGGUUGUCGUCAGCUCGUGUCGUGAGAUGUUGGGUUAAGUCCCGCAACGAGCGCAACCCUUAUCGUUAGUUGCUACCAUUAAGUUGAGCACUCUAGCGAGACUGCCCGGGUUAACCGGGAGGAAGGUGGGGAUGACGUCAAAUCAUCAUGCCCCUUAUGUCCAGGGCUACACACGUGCUACAAUGGUGAGGGCAAAGAGACGCAAGACCGCGAGGUGGAGCAAAUCUCACAAACCUCAUCCCAGUUCGGAUUGCAGGCUGAAACUCGCCUGCAUGAAGCCGGAGUUGCUAGUAAUCGCGAAUCAGCAUGUCGCGGUGAAUACGUUCCCGGGCCUU